rnacentral:misc_RNA from 1 species
GAUGAAGAACGCAGCGAAAUGCGAUAAGUAAUGUGAAUUGCAGAAUUCCGUGAAUCAUCGAAUCUUUGAACGCACAUUGCGCCCCCUGGCAUUCCGGGGGGCAUGCCUGUCCGAGCGUCAUUUCUGCCCUCCAGCCCGGCUGGGUGUUGGGCGCUGUCCCCCCGGGGACACGCCCCAAAGGCAGUGGCGGCGCCGCGUCGGGUCCUCGAGCGUAUGGGGCUUUGUCACCCGCUCGGGACGGACUCGUCGGCGCUGGUCUUCCUCCAGGCGACCCUUCGGGGCUCGUAUUCCUUCGGUUGACCUCGGAUCAGGUAGGGUUACCCGCUGAACUUAAGCAUAUCAAUAAGCGGAGGA